GUUACCCUGCAUAUACGUGAUCCAUAGGGUGAAUUCUACAUUCUGGUCAUGAACAUGCUCGGACCAAGUCUUUGGGAUAUUUGGAGUUCAUUAGGCCAAUCGAUGACACCAAAGUCGACAGCUUGUGCAUCGAAAGCUUCGCUGUGGUUUUCGUUUUUGGAUAUAAAGUAUCGGACCAGGUUUGUUAGAUCUGUUUCUUGCUGUAUUUUGGUAAAUGAAGUUGAA